GGUCUCCACGCUCACCGGUGCGAACUCUUAUUACAUCUGAAACAGGCACCAAGAAAAUCUUGCCAUCUCCAAGCUCUCCGGUCCUUGCCUCCUCAAUGAUCUUUUCUAUCACGGCCUCAACCUGGUCUUUGCUCACCACAAUCUCCAUCUUAACUUUAGCAACAAACUUGUCUUCAGAAAAUUCAGAGCCACCUUGCCUCUCUGUUGAACCACCUUGAGCACCAAAACCUCGAACAUCAGAAACAGUAACACCUCGGAUACCAAUUUUUAGCAAAGCAGAGGAAACUUGCGAGACUCGCCAGGGCCUUAGAAUCGCUUCCACUCUGUAGAAUUUUGCAUCCGGAAUAUACUCAGGGAAGCUUUGGGCUCUAAGUACAGGAACGACAGGCGCAGUUCUUACGUGCCUUAAAGUCGGGUUGAAGCGAGAAAAUCGAGAAUCUCUAAUCUUGGGACGAAUGAAGGUGGAAUCAAAAGGAGGGAAAUGUUUCCUGAGAUGAGAAUGGAGAGGAGUGAGAGAGACUGGUUUCGCCGUGGCGGCCAUUUUCAGGUGAAUUUGAAAAAUGUAACAGGAAAUUUGGGUGCUUUUGGAGGCGGAGUAAAGAGAAGAGGGUAGCAAGGACAAGCAGUGCCUCGCAAAUAACGCCGCCUUUCAGUUUGGGAACUC
rnacentral:misc_RNA from 1 species